UGAGGAAUAUUGGGCAAUGCCCGCAAGGGUGACCCAGCAACGCCGCGUGGAGGAUGAAUGUCGUAAGAUUGUAAACUCCUGUUAGAGGGGAAGAAUAGUACCGGUUGGACCGGUAUAUGACUGUACCCUCAGAGAAAGCCCCGGCUAACUACGUGCCAGCAGCCGCGGUAAUACGUAGGGGGCAAGCGUUGUCCGGAUUUACUGGGUGUAAAGGGCGCGCAGGCGGGAUAAAAAGUCAGUGGUGAAAUCCUACAGCUUAACUGUAGAACUGCCUUUGAUACUUUUAUUCUUGAGUUCGGGAGAGAGAGACGGAAUUCCAGGUGUAGUUGUGAAAUACGUAGAUAUCUGGAAGAACACCAGUUGCGAAGGCGGUCUCUUGGUCCGACACUGACGCUGAGGCGCGAAAGCGUGGGGAGCAAACA
rnacentral:rRNA from 1 species